GACGAACGCUGGCGGCGUGCCUAAUACAUGCAAGUAGAACGCUGAAGAGGGGAGCUUGCUCUUCUUGGAUGAGUUGCGAACGGGUGAGUAACGCGUAGGUAACCUGCCUUGUAGCGGGGGAUAACUAUUGGAAACGAUAGCUAAUACCGCAUAACAAUGGAUGACCCAUGUCAUUUAUUUGAAAGGGGCAAAUGCUCCACUACAAGAUGGACCUGCGUUGUAUUAGCUAGUAGGUGAGGUAACGGCUCACCUAGGCGACGAUACAUAGCCGACCUGAGAGGGUGAUCGGCCACACUGGGACUGAGACACGGCCCAGACUCCUACGGGAGGCAGCAGUAGGGAAUCUUCGGCAAUGGGGGCAACCCUGACCGAGCAACGCCGCGUGAGUGAAGAAGGUUUUCGGAUCGUAAAGCUCUGUUGUAAGUCAAGAACGAGUGUGAGAGUGGAAAGUUCACACUGUGACGGUAGCUUACCAGAAAGGGACGGCUAACUACGUG
rnacentral:rRNA from 1 species